rnacentral:rRNA from 1 species
GAUGAACGCUGGCGGCGUGCCUAAUACAUGCAAGUCGAGCGAACAGACGAGGAGCUUGCUCCUCUGACGUUAGCGGCACACGGGUGAGUAACACGUGGAUAACCUACCUAUAAGACUGGUAUAACUUCGGGAAACCGGAGCUAAUACCGUAUAAGAUAUUGAACCGCAGGGUUCAAUAGUGAAAGACGGUGUUGCUGGCACGUAUAGAUGGAUCCGCGCCGCAUUAGCUAGUUGGUAAGGUAACGGCUUACCAAGGCAACGAUGCGUAGCCGACCUAAGAGGGUGAUCGGCCACCCUGGAACUGGGCCACGGUCCAGACUCCUACGGGAGGCAGCAGUAGGGAACCUGCGGCAAUGGGCGAAAGCCUGACGGAGCAACGCCGAGUGAGUGAUGAAGGUGUUCGGAUCGUAAAACUCUGUUAUUAGGGAAGAACAAAUGUGUAAGUAACUAUGCACGUCUUGACGGUAACUAAUAAGAAAGCCACGGCUAACUACGUG